ensembl:snRNA U6 U6 spliceosomal RNA
GUGCUCACUUCGGCAACACAUAUACUAAAAUUGGAACAAUACAGAGAUUAGCAUGGCCCCUGUGCAUGGAUGACAUGCAAAUUCAUGAAGCAUUCCUUAUUUUU